rnacentral:rRNA from 1 species
GGGCAUCUUCGGAUGGUCAGUGGCAGACGGGUGAGGAACACGUGGGAACAUGCCCUUCGGUUCGGAAUAACUCAGGGAAACUUGAGCUAAUACCGGAUACGCCCUUAGGGGGAAAGAUUUAUUGCCGAAGGAUUGGCCCGCGUCUGAUUAGCUAGUUGGUGAGGUAAUGGCUCACCAAGGCGACGAUCAGUAGCUGGUCUGAGAGGAUGAUCAGCCACAUUGGGACUGAGACACGGCCCAAACUCCUACGGGAGGCAGCAGUGGGGAAUAUUGGACAAUGGGCGAAAGCCUGAUCCAGCCAUGCCGCGUGAGUGAUGAAGGCCUUAGGGUUGUAAAGCUCUUUUAUCCGGGAAGAUAAUGACUGUACCGGAAGAAUAAGCCCCGGCUAACUUCGUGCCAGCAGCCGCGGUAAUACGAAGGGGGCUAGCGUUGCUCGGAAUCACUGGGCGUAAAGGGCGCGUAAGCGGAUGAUUAAGUCGGAGGUGAAAGCCCAGGGCUCAACCCUGGAAUUGCCUUCGAUACUGAUCGUCUCGAGAAUGGAAGAGGUAAGUGGAAUACCGAGUGU